CCCUUAGAUGUUCUGGGCCGCACGCGCGCUACACUGAUGCAUUCAACGAGCCUAUCCUUGACCGACAGGUCCGGGUAAUCUUUGAAUCUGCAUCGUGACGGGGAUAGAUUAUUGCAAUUAUUAAUCUUCAACGAGGAAUGCCUAGUAUGCGCAAGUCAUCAGCUUGCGUCGAUUACGUCCCUGCCCUUUGUACACACCGCCCGUCGCUCCUACCGAUUGGGUGUGCUGGUGAAAUGUUCGGAUCGGCCGUUUGUCGCGGUUUCCGCGUCAUGUGGCUGAGAAGUUCAUUAAACCCUCCCACCUAGAGGAAGGAGAAGUCGUAACA
rnacentral:rRNA from 1 species